CUACGUGCCAGCAGCCGCGGUAAUACGGAGGGUGCGAGCGUUAAUCGGAAUAACUGGGCGUAAAGGGCACGCAGGCGGCUAUUUAAGUGAGGUGUGAAAUCCCCGGGCUUAACCUGGGAAUUGCAUUUCAUACUGGGUCGCUAGAGUACUUUAGGGAGGGGUAGAAUUCCACGUGUAGCGGUGAAAUGCGUAGAGAUGUGGAGGAAUACCGAAGGCGAAGGCAGCCCCUUGGGAAUGUACUGACGCUCAUGUGCGAAAGCGUGGGGAGCAAACAGGAUUAGAUACCCUGGUAGUCCACGCUGUAAACGAUGUCGAUUUGGGGGUUGAACUUUAAGUUUGGCGCCCGUAGCUAACGUGAUAAAUCGACCGCCUGGGGAGUACGGCCGCAAGGUUAAAACUCAAAUGAAUUGACGGGGGCCCGCACAAGCGGUGGAGCAUGUGGUUUAAUUCGAUGCAACGCGAAGAACCUUACCUACUCUUGACAUCCAG
rnacentral:rRNA from 1 species